rnacentral:rRNA from 1 species
CCCUUAGAUGUCCUGGGCUGCACGCGCGCUACACUGAUGUGUCCAGUAAGCACCUAACCUCUUCCGAAAGGAACGGGUAACCUUUGCAAAGCACAUCGUGAUGGGGAUAGAUUAUUGCAAUUAUUAGUCUUGAACGAGGAAUUCCUAGUAAUCACAAGUCAUCAGCUUGUGUUGAUUACGUCCCUGCCCUUUGUACACACCGCCCGUCGCUCCUACCGAUUGAAUGUUCCGGUGAGCUCUUCGGACUGCGCGGUCUGCAGUUUCUGCGUUCCGUGCGGAAAGUUGCGCAAACCUUAACAUUUAGAGGAAGGAGAAGUCGUAACA